GACGAACGCUGGCGGCGUGCUUAACACAUGCAAGUCGAACGGAAAGGCCCUGCUUUUGUGGGGUGCUCGAGUGGCGAACGGGUGAGUAACACGUGAGUAACCUGCCCCUGACUUUGGGAUAACUUCAGGAAACUGGGGCUAAUACCGGAUAGGAGCUCCUGCUGCAUGGUGGGGGUUGGAAAGUUUCGGCGGUUGGGGAUGGACUCGCGGCUUAUCAGCUUGUUGGUGGGGUAGUGGCUUACCAAGGCUUUGACGGGUAGCCGGCCUGAGAGGGUGACCGGCCACAUUGGGACUGAGAUACGGCCCAGACUCCUACGGGAGGCAGCAGUGGGGAAUAUUGCACAAUGGGCGGAAGCCUGAUGCAGCAACGCCGCGUGCGGGAUGACGGCCUUCGGGUUGUAAACCGCUUUCGCCUGUGACGAAGCGUGAGUGACGGUAAUGGGUAAAGAAGCACCGGCUAACUACGUGCCAGCAGCCGCGGUGAUACGUAGGGUGCGAGCGUUGUCCGGAUUUAUUGGGCGUAAAGGGCUCGUAGGUGGUUGAUCGCGUCGGAAGUGUAAUCUUGGGGCUUAACCCUGAGCGUGCUUUCGAUACGGGUUGACUUGAGGAAGGUAGGGGAGAAUGGAAUUCCUGGUGGAGCGGUGGAAUGCGCAGAUAUCAGGAGGAACACCAGUGGCGAAGGCGGUUCUCUGGGCCUUUCCUGACGCUGAGGAGCGAAAGCGUGGGGAGCGAACAGGCUUAGAUACCCUGGUAGUCCACGCUGUAAACGGUGGGUACUAGGUGUGGGGUCCAUUCCACGGGUUCCGUGCCGUAGCUAACGCUUUAAGUACCCCGCCUGGGGAGUACGGCCGCAAGGCUAAAACUCAAAGGAAUUGACGGGGCCCCGCACAAGCGGCGGAGCAUGCGGAUUAAUUCGAUGCAACGCGUAGAACCUUACCUGGGUUUGACAUGGAUCGGGAGUGCUCAGAGAUGGGUGUGCCUCUUUUGGGGUCGGUUCACAGGUGGUGCAUGGCUGUCGUCAGCUCGUGUCGUGAAAUGUUGGGUUAAGUCCCGCAACGAGCGCAACCCUUGUUCACUGUUGCCAGCACGUUAUGGUGGGGACUCAGUGGAGACCGCCGGGGUCAACUCGGAGGAAGGUGGGGAUGACGUCAAGUCAUCAUGCCCCUUAUGUCCAGGGCUUCACGCAUGCUACAAUGGCUGGUACAGAGAGUGGCGAGCCUGUGAGGGUGAGCGAAUCUCGGAAAGCCGGUCUCAGUUCGGAUUGGGGUCUGCAACUCGACCUCAUGAAGUCGGAGUCGCUAGUAAUCGCAGAUCAGCAACGCUGCGGUGAAUACGUUCCCGGG
rnacentral:rRNA from 1 species